GCUCCUGAAUUCAGCGGCGGACGGGUGAGUAAUGCCUAGGAAUCUGCCUGGUAGUGGGGGACAACGUUUCGAAAGGAACGCUAAUACCGCAUACGUCCUACGGGAGAAAGCAGGGGACCUUCGGGCCUUGCGCUAUCAGAUGAGCCUAGGUCGGAUUAGCUAGUUGGUGAGGUAAUGGCUCACCAAGGCGACGAUCCGUAACUGGUCUGAGAGGAUGAUCAGUCACACUGGAACUGAGACACGGUCCAGACUCCUACGGGAGGCAGCAGUGGGGAAUAUUGGACAAUGGGCGAAAGCCUGAUCCAGCCAUGCCGCGUGUGUGAAGAAGGUCUUCGGAUUGUAAAGCACUUUAAGUUGGGAGGAAGGGUUGUAGAUUAAUACUCUGCAAUUUUGACGUUACCGACAGAAUAAGCACCGGCUAACUCUGUGCCAGCAGCCGCGGUAAUACAGAGGGUGCAAGCGUUAAUCGGAAUUACUGGGCGUAAAGCGCGCGUAGGUGGUUCGUUAAGUUGGAUGUGAAAGCCCCGGGCUCAACCUGGGAACUGCAUUCAAAACUGACGAGCUAGAGUAUGGUAGAGGGUGGUGGAAUUUCCUGUGUAGCGGUGAAAUGCGUAGAUAUAGGAAGGAACACCAGUGGCGAAGGCGACCACCUGGACUGAUACUGACACUGAGGUGCGAAAGCGU
rnacentral:rRNA from 1 species